rnacentral:lncRNA from 1 species
AACGUACCUCAGCUGAGGCUAGGCUUCGAUGAAGUAGGUUAAUGGAGCUGCACUCAAACCUAUAAAACUGUGCGAGGAGGAAAUUUACAGCUAUUUUGCUGUUAUGAUGGAUGAAAGCAGAAGUAGGGAGGUUAAGUUCAGCUCCAGACAACAUGUGGAAAUGCUAGACAACUUCAGACUGCCUUCAAAGCAGAGCCCAUGGUCUGGAAAUAGAAUUUGCAUGGAUAUAAUUCAUCUGACCAUAUUCACCAUCAAUGCAUUUAUUUCAUGAAGUGUGUAACAAGGGAAAGGACUUGGAUUAUAUGUUUGACAGAAGACUAGACUGGCAAGUAGAAAUUUUUAUGUGAUUAAUUUUUACCACAUGUGUGGGUGUUGCUGAUAAAUGAUCUGUUCCUUCUUCUGUGGGGCUUUUCAAGCUUUUUAUUUUACUGUUGGAUAUUUCAAUGAUUUUUAACUUCCGUAAAGGCAAUGGAAGGCAAUUUCCUCAUGCAAGAUUCUGCUUCUUAGUUAAAAUGAAACCAUGAAUCACUAUCAGUAGAAAACAACAUACUGCAAAAAACAGAAGAACAGAAAACCUACCCCAAAGCAUUUGUCUUCUCUUCUAAGCCAUUUAUACAACUCCCUUUGUUUUAAUUUUAUAGCAUCAAUUGUAAACCUUAUCUAGUGGAACUUCUAUGUCUUCAGUGGCUUCAGAAACACAGGAGAUCUUUAUUUGUCACAACAACCAAUUUGUGGUAGCUGUAUACAAGCAGGCUUUAAAAGUGGCAUGAGAGUGAUAAGAACCAAUAUUCUAGAGGUAAUUACAUAUCUGUAUUGGCAUGGUGAACUGAUAAGUGCAUAUCUUACUCAGAAGUUCUCUGGACUCAUUUCUUUCUAUGAGUUUUCUAUUUCUAUGGGGUGUGAAUUCUAGCUUUUUGAAGCAAAUUAAAUUGAGAAAUAAUCCCUCAAAUAACAGAAGGAAAAACUACAAACUAGACAGAGCAUUUGGAUAUUGUAUGCAUCGGAUUGAUCUAAAGUUUUAAUGAAACAAUUAUAGGGUAUGCCUAUUAUAUAACCCCACUUCAGAAGGUUCAAAUCAGUUAUUAAUUUUAUGUUAGUAUUAUUACUUUGAAGUAGCAUGAAAAUCCCUGUAAGCAAAAGUUGCUUGCUGUAAACUUAUAAUUUAUCUUAAUUCACAACAGACUGAUUAAUUUCAGGUUAUUUUGGAUCAGGCCCUAAAGAGGGUAUUAAAAACUGAACGCAGCUACUGAUACUUUGAGGGAAGUAGCACA